rnacentral:rRNA from 1 species
UCUGGAACUGCCAUCAAAACUUUCAGCUAGAGUAUGAUAGAGGAAAGCAGAAUUUCUAGUGUAGAGGUGAAAUUCGUAGAUAUUAGAAAGAAUACCAAUUGCGAAGGCAGCUUUCUGGAUCAUUACUGACACUGAGGAACGAAAGCAUGGGUAGCGAAGAGGAUUAGAUACCCUCGUAGUCCAUGCCGUAAACGAUGUGUGUUAGACGUUGGAAAUUUAUUUUCAGUGUCGCAGCGAAAGCGAUAAACACACCGCCUGGGGAGUACGACCGCAAGGUUAAAACUCAAAUGAAUUGACGGGGACCCGCACAAGUAGUGGAGCAUGUGGUUUAAUUCGAAGAUACGCGCAGAACCUUACCAACACUUGACAUGUUCGUCGCGACUCUAAGAGAUUAGAGUUUUCGGUUCGGCCGGACGAAACACAGGUGCUGCAUGGCUGUCGUCAGCUCGUGUCGUGAGAUGUUGGGUUAAGUCCCGCAACGAGCGCAACCCUCACUUUUAGUUGCCAUCAUUUAGUUGGGCACUCUGAAAGAACUGCCAGUGAUAAGCUGGAGGAAGGUGGGGAUGACGUCAAGUCCUCAUGGCCCUUACGUGUUGGGCUACACACGUGCUACAAUGGCAUCUACAACAGGAAGCAAAACGGCAACGUUAAGCAAAUCCCGAAAAGAUGCCUCAGUUCGGAUUGCACUCUGCAACUCGAGUGCAUGAAGCUGGAAUUACUAGUAAUCGUGGAUCAGCGUGCCACGGUGAAUGCGUUCCCGGGUCUUGUACACACCGCCCGUCACACCAUGGGAGUUGGUUCUACCUUAAGGCAAGGUUUUAAACCCUUGACCACGGUAUAGUCAGCGACUGGGGUGAAGUCGUAACAAGGUAAC